rnacentral:snoRNA from 1 species
ACUCUCUAUCCCUCUCCCUUCCUCUCUGUAAAAAAAUCAAUAAAAUUUUUUUUUUUUUAAUUGCAGGUAUCUGGUCGUAGAGGAGGAAAAGUAAUAGUGAAGCUGGCCUCACAGUGUCUACAGUCUGUGGGCUAGUUUCAAACAAGG